CGAACGUUGGAAACAGCGGUUAGGAGCUUACACCCACCCGUGUUUACAUACUAUUGUUGCUUUGGCGGGCCGUGGCCUCCACUGCGGGCUCUGCUCGUGUGUGCCCGCCAGAGAACCAAACUCUGAAUGUUAGUGAUGUCUGAGUACUAUCUAAUAGUUAAAACUUUCAACAACGGAUCUCUUGGUUCUGGCAUCGAUGAAGAACGCAGCGAAAUGCGAUAAGUAAUGUGAAUUGCAGAAUUCAGUGAAUCAUCGAAUCUUUGAACGCACAUUGCGCCCUGUGGUAUUCCGCAGGGCAUGCCUGUUCGAGCGUCAUUUAACCACUCACGCCUAGCGUGGUAUUGGGGCACGCGGUCUCCGCGGCCCUCAAAAUUAGUGGCGGCGCCGGUGGGCUCUAAGCGUAGUACAUACUCCCGCUAUAGAGUUCCCCCGGUGGCUCGCCAGAACCCCCAAUUUUUACAGGUUGACCUCGG
rnacentral:rRNA from 1 species